GACCGCGUAGCUCAGUUGGCAGAGCAUUGGGCUAGAAUUCCAAAGGUCGUAGGUUCGAUUCCCACCGUGGCCG
rnacentral:tRNA from 1 species